UAAGACUUUGAAAAUGAAAAUUAAUAAAUUGGAUUUGAGAACAAAAAUAUUAACAUGCAAAAUAAAGUUGAUUCAAUUGACAAAAGAAAACAAUGGAUGAAUGAAUGUUGUUGGGGGUUUACAAUUUCAUCUAAUUCGCCCUCUCUUAUCUACUCCUCUUGAAUAUUAGUUUGAUUAAUUAAUUGUUAUGCGACUUUCUUAGCCUACCCUUAACCCGAUCCCUCGCCGAAAAGAGCCUAAUAUUAACUAUUGGCUUGCUAUCCCUAGCCUUCCCUAGUAAUUAAUACCGCAUUAUAAACAGAAGUUAACGCAAUUGAUCGUCCUAUCCCUAUCCCUAGAUGAUAUUGCAAAAUCAAGGAAUUACCAACCAGUUCAUGUCAUUACUGUACGUCCC
rnacentral:lncRNA from 1 species